rnacentral:miRNA from 1 species
UACUGCAUCAGGAACUGACUGG